AUGAGGAGAAGGACAACAGUUGACUACAGAUUUCACACCAAGGAGCAACAUGACUUUUAUGAAACUAUCUUGCUUGACAAGAAGCUCAUUAUGUGUGACAUCAGAUGGAUCAACUGGGAUUACAUCAAGAAGAAUGAAGCUCACUAUGAAGGAGUGUAUGACAGCUUCAAGUCUUGUGGAGUAGAUGACUUUGUUGCCCAGAAGCUCACCAAGUGGAAUGAGGAGCUCAUUAUGCAGUUUUACUCCACAGCUCACUUCUACCUAGAUGGGAAGAUUUUCUGGAUGUCUGAGGGUACUAGGUACCAAUCCACAGUUGAAGAAUGGGCUGAAUUGAUCAAUGCUCCUAAGGAAUCUGAAGAUGACUUGGAUGUAUAUGUAGAGAAGAAGAAAGACCACAACUCUACGGCUCACAUGUAUAGAGAGAUCCCAGAAAAGGCUUUGUAA
rnacentral:rRNA from 1 species